GCCGAUGUAGCUCAAUUGGUAGAGCAGUCCCUUCGUAAGGGAAAGGUUGUCGGUUCAAUUCCGGCCAUCGGCU
rnacentral:tRNA from 1 species